ensembl:lncRNA
GGGCUGGGGGGGUCCCAGUGGGGAGGGAGGUGCACAGAGGAGCCUUACUGGUGCAUCUGCCCCAGGCUCUACGUCAGCAUGAAGAGGAAGGAACACGUCUGGCCCGGGGCAAAAGCUGUGGCUGGAUGGUGGCAGGGGGGGUUGGGAACAGGGGGUGGAGAUACCAGGAGAGAAGACAGGGUGAGCGGGGAGCGUGGUGGCGGGCCAGGGGGCCGAACCUUCCUUUCCAUGUCCUUCCCACGAUUUGCUGAAGGUUCCAGUAGAAAGUCUCAGGGGAGGAGGUGACCUUGAGGGCCAGGCUGGGGGCAGCCAGCGGACCCCCAGAGCCCCAAGCUCCACACAUGCUCUGACCUGCCUGGAGCCUGUGGUGACAGGGGGCCAGGAGCGGGGCCCUGGCCCACGGUCCUGGGCAGCCCCCCCUGCCCUUGGAUCCUGCCUGGAAGCUCCGCCUUCACCUCCUGACCCACUGCCCGACCACCUGCAUGUGCAGACAACCUCGAGUGUGCUCCGAACACGGCUCCUCUCAGACCAACUACACACAGAGCGGGGCCUCCACCUGCCAGCCAGUGACCCGUGAGCCCCGGGCCAGGCUGUGGGGAUGCCAUUCCCUCCUCCAGGGGAUCUUCCCAACAGGAAUCGAAUCAGGUCUCCCGCCUUCCCUGAGCCACUAGGGAAGCCUCUGGGGAUGCCCAGCACAAGCCAGGGCCACAUGCAUAGCGGAGGGACCUAACACGGGAUUCCUGGGAGAAGGGCGUCUCUGCAGCAGCCCCAGGGGAGGCCUGGGGACCCUCCUGCCCAGCCCGAGGACACCCAGCCCCUCCACCAGGACCCCAGCGGCCCCGGUCCUGGCCCGUCACGUUGGGAACGUCCCUUGAAGAGCAGCUCCCGCCAUGAGAACCUCCUCCACUGCAGCUCAGCUGUGCAUGUUCACAACCUCGGUCCUGUAACCCGCUUCUGAGAAAAUACUCUGAGGAAAAAGCCUUAGAGGCCAAACUGUUCUUGCCAAUGUUAUUUUCAUCAGGAAAAAUCGCAAACAACCCCAACGUGGGUCACAGUAAUGGGGAGAGG